rnacentral:rRNA from 1 species
UACAGAGGUCUCAAGCGUUGUUCGGAUUCAUUGGGCGUAAAGGGUGCGUAGGCGGCGCGGUAAGUCGGGUGUGAAAUCUCGGAGCUUAACUCCAAAACUGCAUUCGAUACUGCCGUGCUUGAGGACUGGAGAGGAGACUGGAAUUUACGGUGUAGCGGUGAAAUGCGUAGAUAUCGUAAGGAAGACCAGUGGCGAAGGCGGGUCUCUGGACAGUUCCUGACGCUGAGGCACGAAGGUCAGGGGAGCAAACGGG